rnacentral:piRNA from 1 species
UGUUCACUCCGAGUCACCUGUCCGA